AUGAACGCUGGCGGCGUGCCUAAUACAUGCAAGUCGAGCGGUAACACUUCGGGUGACGAGCGGCGGACGGCUGAGUAACGCGUAGGAACAUACCCCAGAGUGAGGGAUAAGCCCGGGAAACCGGGUCUAAUACCGCAUAAUCUCUUUGGAGCAAAGCUUCGGUGCUUUGGGAAUGGCCUGCGUAUGAUUAGCUUGUUGGUGAGGUAAUGGCUCACCAAGGCGACGAUCAUUAGCUGGUCUGAGAGGAUGAUCAGCCAGACUGGGACUGAGACACGGCCCAGACUCCUACGGGAGGCAGCAGUAGGGAAUUUUCCACAAUGGGGGCAACCCUGAUGGAGCAACGCCGCGUGCAGGAUGAAAGCCUUCGGGUUGUAAACUGCUUUUAUAUGUGAAGAUUAUGACGGUAGCAUAUGAAUAAGGGUCUGCUAACUACGUGCCAGCAGCCGCGGUCAUACGUGGGACCCAAGCGUUAUCCGGAAUUACUGGGCGUAAAGAGUUGCGUAGGUGGCAGAGUAAGUAGGUAGUGAAAGCGUCUCGCUCAACGAGAUAAACAUUAUCUAAACUGCUCAGCUAGAAGAUGGGAGAGGUCACUGGAAUUCCUAGUGUAGGAGUGAAAUCCGUAGAUAUUAGGAGGAACACCAAUGGCGUAGGCAGGUGACUGGCCCAUUCUUGACACUAAGGCACGAAAGCGUGGGGAGCGAACGGGAUUAGAUACCCCGGUAGUCCACGCCGUAAACGAUGGAUGCUAGCUGUUAUCAGUAUCGACCCUGGUAGUAGCGAAGCUAACGCGUUAAGCAUCCCGCCUGUGGAGUACGAGCGCAAGCUUAAAACAUAAAGGAAUUGACGGGGACCCGCACAAGCGGUGGAGCGUGUUGUUUAAUUCGAUGAUAAGCGUAGAACCUUACCAAGGCUUGACAUCCUGCCAAGAUUUCCGAAAGGAAAUUGUGCCUUCGGGCCGCAGUGACAGGUGAUGCAUGGCCGUCGUCAGCUCGUGUCGUGAGAUGUUAGGUUAAGUCCUUUAACGAACGCAACCCUUUUGUCCAGUUGGAUUUCUCUGGACAGACUGCCCUGGUAACAGGGAGGAAGGAGGGGAUGAUGUCAGGUCAGUAUUUCCCUUACGCCUUGGGCUACAAACACGCUACAAUGGCCGGUACAGAGGGCAGCCAACCCGCGAGGGGGAGCAAAUCCCAUCAAAACCGGUCUCAGUUCGGAUUGUAGGCCGAAACUCGCCUGCAUGAAGCUGGAAUCGCUAGUAACGGUAGGUCAGCACACUACCGUGAAUACGUUCCCGGGUCUUGUACACACCGCCCGUCAAGUCAUGAAAGUCGCCAAUACCCGACGUCCCACUUCACGUGGGCCUAAGGUAGGGGAGAUGAUUGGGACU
rnacentral:rRNA from 1 species